ACUUUAAUUUCCGAAGACAGCAGGUGCAAAUAGCUUAAUUUCCUGCCGAGGGACGAUAGUGUAUAUACUAUGCCCUGCUGUCUGCAGGGCAUUUUU
rnacentral:sRNA from 1 species